rnacentral:tRNA from 1 species
AGAACAAAAGUUUAAAAUACUAAAUAUUUGCUUUGCAAGCAAAAGAUGAAUAUUUAUUCUUGUUUUU